rnacentral:lncRNA from 1 species
AGGAAAGAAGCAAUAUCCUUUGUAUGGCACAUAUAUCCCUUUUGCCAUAUUCUAGGGGACUAAGAAAUUACAAAUUAACUAACAUUCAAUCCAAGAUGAAGCUAUGUGUCACUUUUCAGUGAGAGGAGUGUCCAUAACAUUAUAAGCAAGACAUGCAAGAGAAGAGACUGAGAGAGGAGAAUAAAUUGUGGAAAUCAGUGAAAAGUCCAAAAUACUGGCUCACCUCUCAUGUUUACAUACAUCAUGAGUGGCAUCAAGUCAUAUCCUUGACUUUAGGAUAUCUGAACCUUUGGAAAUUGUAACUAGAAGUCUUAAAACAUUAGCUACGUAUUGAUUCUCUCACCUUCAGAAAAAUGGAAUGUCCUCUUUCAUAAGAGGUGGAGUUUUCCCAUGUUGCCCAUGCUGGUCUGGAAC